ACGGAUUUGUUUUUGCCGGCACUGGAGAGUCCCUUUAACACUUCAGUUUGUUUAAAUAGAAUAGUGAUGAGAGAUCACUGCUGAAUACUUCUGAAAUGCCACGUUUGUUAAUCCAAAUCAUUCUUGAAAAUAGAAAUGCCUCUAAAGUUCAUUUGAGGAUAGAUUGCUUCACUUUUUAUUGCCUUUUUUAAGUAGAUAGGCACAUGUCAAAUCUAAUAGCUAAUUAUUGAAAAUGUGAUGAGUUAUUCCUUUCUAGUAUAACAAACAGAAACAUGCUCAAGAUCCAUAGUAAGAGCCAAAUACAAUUUAUUAAGAAGUUUAACAUCACCAAAAUGUUGUUUUUUUUCAUUCACAAAUCUCAAAGAGUUGAUAAAGUCCCUAAAAAGUAGAGUAUUAUUAUGUCUACACUCGUUUAGAAAAUGGUUUACUUACAAACUACUCAAACUCCGUAAGUCUUUGAAACCGCAGUUUGUGUGAAUACAAUGUGUUAUCUAGGGCAUCUGCAACAUAUGAUUCAAUGAAAUAAUAUCACCAGGUAUAUUUGAAAUGAUAUAUACCGCUACCAAG